GAUGAACGCUGGCGGCGUGCCUAAUACAUGCAAGUCGAGCGAACAGACGAGGAGCUUGCUCCUCUGACGUUAGCGGCGGACGGGUGAGUAACACGUGGAUAACCUACCUAUAAGACUGGGAUAACUUCGGGAAACCGGAGCUAAUACCGGAUAAUAUAUUGAACCGCAUGGUUCAAUAGUGAAAGACGGUUUUGCUGUCACUUAUAGAUGGAUCCGCGCCGCAUUAGCUAGUUGGUAAGGUAACGGCUUACCAAGGCAACGAUGCGUAGCCGACCUGAGAGGGUGAUCGGCCACACUGGAACUGAGACACGGUCCAGACACCUACGGGAGGCAGCAGUAGGGAAUCUUCCGCAAUGGGCGAAAGCUUGACGGAGCAACGCCGCGUGAGUGAUGAAGGUCUUCGGAUCGUAAAACUCUGUUAUUAGGGAAGAACAAAUGUGUAAGUAACUAUGCACGUCUUGACGGUACCUAAUCAGAAAGCCACGGCUAACUACGUG
rnacentral:rRNA from 1 species